UUGCAGCUGAAAAACUAUAAAGUAGAGAAUUCUACCUUAGAGCAAAACCAUCUUCAGUGACAAAUUUCAAAGGCCAUAUGUAUGCGAUUUUCAUGAAAAGCAGACGACCCUAAAUUUCUUUGUUUAACUGGAAGCGAUCUUCCUCAUAGAACAGGCAGGUUCUUUCUGCAGUUUGCCUUGUUUAUGGUGCCGUUACAAAUUUCACUUUUCUUUCUAGUACUACAAUCAAGUCUGGGAGUUCAGUGUAAUGCCAACGGGUAUUUCAUUAACACUGCCACCUCUAGCAUCUUCAAGGGAAUCACCUCAGGCACAACAUUACUUCGGGACCGCAUUUAUUGUAUUUGGAUAAAGUAAAAUAAAAACGUAAACCUUCUAACACAAACUUCACUCAACAGUGGAAACUCAGAGGGCCAUAAAUUCCAGAGGAACUGUGAGAAAAGUGUUCCUGUCCCCACCCAUCUGAAUUUGAGUGAAAUCCAUUGGAAUCAAGGAAAUGAUCCUUAAAAAGAAGAUGCUGCUGCAUCUCAGACGACAGAUUUUACCUCUUCAAAGGAUUUAUUUUUUUUGCCCACCUUACCUGAGGUUGGCAUUUCUAAAGGUCAACUGUUUCUGAAAUGAGGUAUCUUAUCUAAACCACCAAAGGGGAUGAAGGAGUAGGAGGUAGCAGCACUGCUCACCCCUCAAAACCAUUUGAAAAAAAAAAGAUCCAAGGAGCCUGUCAGAACAAGUAAUGAUCGGGAAAUCUAAGGAGAAACCAUGGUGGACGGAAGAAAACAUUUGACCAAUGAAGGAAUUUGUUUUUCUUGAUGACGCAUAUUUGCUACAAUACCUUCUUUUU